GGGGCUGGCCUGGUAGAAUAAAAGUUAAGUUUGCGUGCUCCACUUCUGUGGCCCAGGGUUCGCAGAUUCGGAUCCAAGGCGUGGACCUAGCACCACUUGUCGAGCCACACUGUGGCAGUAUCCCACAAAAAAUAGAGGCAGAUUGGCACAGAUGUCAGCUCAGGGAGAAUCUCCCUCAAGAAAUAAAGAGGAGGAUUGGCAAAAGACGUUAGCUCAGGGCCAAUCUCCCUCACCAAAAAAAUUAAAUAAAUAAAUUAAUGCUUCUUUUAAAAAGGUGGUUUUAUAGACUUUGGCUUCCUUAAUUCUCACAACAGUUCUGAAAACAUAGUUCUUUUCUGUCUAGCUACACUACCUCCAGAACUUCUUUUACAGUAACUCAGUAAAGAUGUUUCCUUUAUUUUUCCAAUUUUUGUACCUAUCUCUAAGUCUUUCCGUAAUUAUAGGCACAAAUAAACUUUCCACCCUUUACUACUAAAUUAAAUGGUUAUCUUUUCAUAAAACUAAUGUCAUUUCAACUUUGUGGCUUUUUUUCACCAAUAAUGACAAUAAUCUCUGUUAUAUAACAAAAUAUUUCCUUAAAAAAAUCAAUGAAGUUGCAAAGAACAUAUUAAAGGCUGCAAUACUGUCCCAUUCUCCCUGCCAUUGUCCCAAAUCACUCUUCUGGCAGCAAAACUGUCAGGCACAGCAUGACAUCUACUAAAAAUGAGUUCAACCCAGCAUCUUGUCAGAUGUGGUCCAUGUUUUGUGUUCUCUGAUCUUCUAAAAAGAACAAACAAACCCGGAGCGUAGGAAGGUAUUUAGAUGGCUUCUAGGGAAGCUGUCAUUUCCACUGUAGUUUUCUUCUUUACUGCAGAGAGGCUGAUACUAAAAAUUGCUGGAAGAAAAAAGAAAAAUAAAAUAGCAUCACCAGCAUGUUGAUGAACGUCAAGUAGAGGAUGAUACUGGACCACAAAGUAAACAUGACUGUUGCUACAGAUACAAAAUGGGAAGAAGUUACUCUCUUAAGUAUGUCAUGAAUAUAUUUAUUACUGGAAAUCAGAGAGAGAGAAAAGAGAAUCUCACAAUACAGAGAGUUGUGAUUUGGACAUCAACUAUUUCUCCUGCUCUCUCCAAGAACCAAGACCAAACUGUAAAGGUGGCAUUUGAAAGAUACAAAGUGACUAACAUUGACUUUUCAAGGCCAACGUGCAGAGUGCUUGCUGAUGAAAGGCCAUUGAACAAGGGGUUAGGGAUCACUUCCUCCUCCAGCUGGAUUCUGCCCCUCCUGCCCCACUUGGUGACUAUGUGAGCGAGCUGUGAGACCCAGGAUUUGAGACAUACAUGGCUAAGAAAUUGAUUUGACAUCAUGACUAUGCACCAAGAAUAUCACUCUCCAAAUGUUAUAUUUUUCUGGUCAGCAAUUCAAAAUAAAGAUGAUGUUUGUU
rnacentral:lncRNA from 1 species